rnacentral:lncRNA from 1 species
GUGGGAGGCUGGGAGAGAUCGAAUAUAUCCAAAGAUUUGGGACUCAAAUCCUCUCAUUCUCCUGAUAAUCAGGUUUAUUUCUGUGUUUUCUUUAUUUUUGUUGAUUUUAAUUUUUUUCAUAUUUCCUUUAUUUUUAUUGAUUUUUUCUAUGUUUUCUCUAUUUUUCUGUGAUUUUGUGUUGGGUAUUUUCUUUCUAUUUUUCUAUUCUAAACACCAUACC